UAAUUUGUUUGGAGCAUAUCUUCAUUUAGUUAUGGCAGACGUAAACCUGACUGCUCAAAAUCACCCACCACCGAGUAAAUAAUAACUUUUUAAGAUUUUAAUUGGAGU
rnacentral:pre_miRNA from 1 species